rnacentral:rRNA from 1 species
AUUGAACGCUGGCGGCAGGCCUAACACAUGCAAGUCGAACGAGUGGCGUACGGGUGAGUAAUGUCUGGGAAACUGCCUGAUGGAGGGGGAUAACUACUGGAAACGGUAGCUAAUACCGCAUACCAUCGGAUGUGCCCAGAUGGGAUUAGCUAGUAGGUGGGGUAAAGGCUCACCUAGGCGACGAUCCCUAGCUUGUCUGAGAGGAUGACCAGCCACACUGGAACUGAGACCCGGUCCAGAAUCCUACGGGAUGCAGCAGUGGGGAAUAUUGAACAAUGGGCGGAAGCCUGAUGCAGCCAUGCCGCGUGUAUGAAGAAGGCCUUCGGGUUGUAAAGUACUUUCAGCGGGGAGGCGUUACCCGAAGAAGAAGCACCGGCUAACUCCGUGCCAGCCGCCGCGGUAAUUG